rnacentral:rRNA from 1 species
GACGAACGCUGGCGGCGUGCUUAACACGUGCAAGUCGAACGGAAAGGCCCUGCUUUUGUGGGGUGCUCGAGUGGCGAACGGGUGAGUAACACGUGAGUAACCUGCCCUUGACUUUGGGAUAACUUCAGGAAACUGGGGCUAAUACCGGAUAGGAGCUCCUGCUGCAUGGUGGGGGUUGGAAAGUUUCGGCGGUUGGGGAUGGACUCGCGGCUUAUCAGCUUGUUGGUGGGGUAGUGGCUUACCAAGGCUUUGACGGGUAGCGGGCCUGAGAGGGUGACCGGCCACAUGGGGACUGAGAUACGGCCCAGACUCCUACGGGAGGCAGCAGUGGGGAAUAUUGCACAAUGGGCGGAAGCCUGAUGCAGCAACGCCGCGUGCGGGAUGACGGCCUUCGGGUUGUAAACCGCUUUCGCCUGUGACGAAGCGUGAGUGACGGUAAUGGGUAAAGAAGCACCGGCUAACUACGUGCCAGCAGCCGCCGUAAAAC